rnacentral:tRNA from 1 species
GGGGCCGUGCCUGAAACAAAGGGUUACUUUGAUAGAGUAAAUAAUGGGGGUUAAACUCCCCCCAGCUCCU